AUACCCAAUGUGCUCGGUGAUUCGGCUGAUCGAGUAAAGCUCCGGCGCUUCGGGAGAGGCCUGCGGCCCAUCAGCUAGUUGGUAGGGUAACGGCCUACCAAGGCAGAGACGGGUAGGGGGCGUGAGAGCGCGGACCCCCACACUGGCACUGCGACACGGGCCAGACUCCUACGGGAGGCAGCAGUAAGGAAUAUUGCGCAAUGGACGAAAGUCAGACGCAGCGACGCCGCGUGGGCGAUGAAGGCCUUCGGGUUGUAAAGCCCUUUUAUGGGGGAAGAGAAAAAGGACGGUACCCCAUGAAUAAGUCCCGGCUAACUACGUGCCAGCAGCCGCGGUAAAACGUAGGGGACAAGCGUUAUCCGGAUUCACUGGGCGUAAAGAGCGUUGAGGCGGUUCCGUAAGUUGGGCGUGAAAGCUCCGGGCUUAACCCGGAGAUGUCGUUCAAUACUGCGGGGCUUGAGGACAGCAGAGGAAGGUGGAAUUCCCGGUGUAGUGGUGAAAUGCGUAGAUAUCGGGAGGAACACCCGUGGCGAAGGCGGCCUUCUGGGCUGUUCCUGACGCUGAAGGCGAAAGCUAGGGGAGCGAACGGGAUUAGAUACCCCGGUAGUCCUAGCUGUAAACGAUGGAUGCUGGGUGUGGGGGGUGUAAAUUCCCUCUGUGCCGAAGCAAACGCGUUAAGCAUCCCGCCUGGGGACUACGGCCGCAAGGCUAAAACUCAAACGAAUUGACGGGGGCCCGCACAAGCAGCGGAGCGUGUGGUUUAAUUCGAUGCUACACGAAGAACCUUACCUGGGUUUGACAUGCACGUGGUAGGGAACCGAAAGGGGACCGACCUUCGGGAGCGUGCACAGGUGCUGCAUGGCUGUCGUCAGCUCGUGCCGUGAGGUGUCGGGUUAAGUCCCGUAACGAGCGCAACCCUUGCCCUUAGUUACAAGUGUCUAAGGGGACUGCCCGGGACAACUGGGAGGAAGGUGGGGAUGACGUCAAGUCAGCAUGGCCUUUAUAUCCAGGGCUACACACACGCUACAAUGGCCAGUACAAUAGGUAGCCAAGUCGUGAG
rnacentral:rRNA from 1 species